CUGCAGCCUAUUAAGCCAACCAGGUUCCUUCCCUUAUGGUGGCCUGAUGUGCAAUGGCUUCAAACAGCAGCCUCCUGGGUAGUGUAUGUAACCAGUUGAUUAUACAGGAUGGCCUAAGGGACCUUGGAGACAGUU
ensembl:snoRNA SNORA70 Small nucleolar RNA SNORA70